ensembl:lncRNA
AAUUGAGGCAUUAUUUUAAUGCAGAUAUAAUAAAUCUGCACUAUUUGGAAUUAAAAAAGAAUGUGUGAAAUCACUGAUAUUACUGCAGUGAUACCAACCGGUUUCUUCAGUUAACUGUGCAAUCGAUCGCUAUAUGGAACAGAAGAUCAAUAUCCUGCAAGUAUAGAAGCCACAUAUGGAGUUUCUUAAUGGAGAUAAAACACCAACAUUUGCUAUACAUUUGACUUAAAUCUAGAGAUGGGUGGAGGAGAAGAGACAGGUAUGUGAGGUACUCUGCAUACAUUUCUUUUAAUAAGACUUCUCUCUCUUUUUUUUUCUUUUUUUUUUUUUUUGCCUUAAGGAAUUAAAUUUCUACUUUGGAUAUCACAUUCUGGCAGAGGGGAAGAGUUAUCUUUUGUAGGAACACAAAGUAAUCAUGGACAAAUUAUGGACAAAAUAAUAUUAACAGGAGACAGAGACAUUCCAAGUAGCCAAGUUAAACAUCUUAAAUCAGCAUUAAGGGAAAUGAAGGACAAAUGAGGCUCAGGGAUGCCACUUCCUUUGAAUGGGAUGAAUCACACUAUGAGGGAUCUUCGGCUUGGGAGACCACCUUACUCCCCUAUUGGAGAACCAGGCAUAAGCAGGAAGAUCACAGUGGCACACCUCCAGCAAAUGUCCUCCAGAGGCAUUGUGCCCUGAUGGGAGGUGGCUGCAUGCAGAUAGCAGGGACGUAUCUCAAGACAACGGGGCACAGGAAUCCAUCCCCUGAGAACUGGAUGUGCAAGCAUGAAGUAGUGGAGACCCUGCCUAUUACCUUGCUGGGAUAGGCAGGGAGACAGAGCUGACGAAGAUGCCUAUGGCAAUGUAACCAAGUCCUAUUCUCAGACAUCAGUAAUGGGUAAACUUCAUGUGUAAUUUUCCAAUUAUAUUUUAAACCCAUUUGGUGACAGUGAAAUUUCUCAAAUCAACAAACUUCUAUAAAAACUACAGGAAAGUUCUCCCAGUAAAAUCUUCUAAUCUUGAGUGUUGUUUGGUGCUUUUUCUUUGUUUUUUUUUUCUUCGUUUUAAAAAUAAUUUUAUUUUAAGAGCAUGUGUUGAUAAAUUCAAAACUCCAUGGUGACUUCACAACAGUUCUAAUUUAGGGCCACUUAUCAUAACUUCAGUCCAUCAAGAGCACAUCUCUAUUCUUUCAUCUUUCCAUCAUCUUCCACUGUCCACGUCCAUCAAGUGGCCAUCGCUUGUUGUCGAUAAUGAAGCCUUCUCCUCCUAAUUUGCUGUUUCUCUAUUCUGUUGCAGCUAGUUGCAGUUGCUGAUGCCAGAUCCCACCAGGCACUCCUCAGCUUCCUUAAAAACUCAUUCUCGUCCGCAUAUUACAGGCCAUUUCCCCUUCAGUAUGAGCCUGCAGACCCACAGCAUCAUUCCAGACUGUGGGACCUAUCCUCAGCGUUAAAAAUUGCUUAGUAAAACUGCGCAGCAGCCGCAGAAACUAAACACGCACGCUUUUUGUUACAAGUGUGAAACCUGUCACUACGCGGCUGAGAGAUGUCACCGUGCUAGCUGUGGGCGAUGCCCCGCCGUUCCUGAACUCACUCCCGCACCGAACCCAGCAGCGCGGCGGGCACCGCACAGCUCCGCCGUCCCUCCCGCGCUGGUUUCCCAGCCGGCCUG